UUUCAAUUAAUUAGGUCACAACAGAGGAAAAUAAGGUAUCUCUUGUCACAGCCUGAUGCCCCUUCUAGACUUUUGGGGACUUGGAAUCAAUUGACUUCUCAAAAUCUUAAAAGAUCUUCAUUAUGGCAAGACUGCAGCUGGAGGCAGUUCUCUACUCAGCCCGCAGUGCCGAGUGACACAGGCAGGCGACAUCAUCUGAGUACUAACUUCUACUACAUCCAGACAGACUGCGAGAACCAUUUCCAAAUCGUGGGAAGACGUCAGAGAACCAAAGGGGUGGCUGCAAAGUUUUGGACAAGACCUCUACAGGCAACUGGAAGCACAGUGAACCCAGUUUCAUCCUCCUUCUGCUUCCUCUGGGGAUCUCUAGACACUGCCAACAAUGUCUGUGCUGCAGACUUCCUAACUGACUUGAGGAAGAAAGGAAGAAUUGGUUACAUGUGAAAGCUCCAUGACAGAAACAAGGAAAGUUCUUUACAGCAGUCACUUUCUUCUUGUGCCUCAUGAGCCAGUUUGGG
rnacentral:lncRNA from 1 species